rnacentral:tRNA from 3 species
GGGCUGAUAGCUUAAUGAGAGUGUUGAACUUUUAAUUCAAAGGUAGGUUAAGAGCCUUCAGCCUA